rnacentral:misc_RNA from 1 species
AUUUAAUUCGAACUUCCUCUGUGAAAUAAGCAGUAGACCUACUGUGUGACGAUUGAAGCGCACGGUUGAUCCAUCAUCAGUCUUGCAGUAUAGACAUCAAUCAUAAUCAGAAUGGAUGUACUAAGGCCCCAGAUAAUAAGGAUAGGGGACCGCUGUUACAGGAAAAACCCCACACUGGACAGAGAUUUCAACGCCCUAGAGGAGGAAGAGUAUGAAGAAUCAACAAUCCAGUGUGAUAGCUGGAAUGAUGAAACGUGCGACACAUUUAACAUCGAGGAGACAGAUCGUGGAUAUCAGACCUCUGUCAAUCUACCCAGUGCCUUCUUCAAACACAUCAUUGGCAGAAAGGGAGAGACGAAACGUCGGCUCGAGAUCGAGACUAAAACACAGAUCAGAAUUCCCAGGGAGGGGGUAGAGGGCGAGAUAGUGAUCACUGGACCGGAGAGGAAGGGCGUGGUCUCAGCUAAGACGAGGAUCGACGUUAUCGUGGACUCUGUACGACGGAAAGAGCCCUUCACCCACUUCCUGUCUCUCCCGGUGAACUCACAGCCAAUCAGAGAGAGGUUCCUGGAGUUUCAGGAGGAUGUCUUAAGGAAAUGUGAUAGUAGGUAUAGAUCCAACCAUAUUCCAGAAGCCUGAGAAACUACAUCUAACCAUUGGAACGUUAGUCCUCCUCAAUAAACACGAAAUACAACAGGCUCUGGAUACACUGGAGGACUGUAAACAGAGUCUCAUUGAACCCAUCCUGAGGGGUGAACCUCUGACUGUGAGGGUGCAGGGGCUGGAAUACAUGAACGAUGAUCCCAGCUCAGUGGACGUCUUGUACGCAAAGAUUCAGGCAGGGGAGCAGGCAGAGAGGCUUCAAAUACUUGCUGAUCGAUUAGUUGACCGAUUUUCCACCACUGGUCUAAUGCAGCAGGAAUACAGUCGAGUCAAGCUACACCUCACUGUAAUGAAUACACUGAUGAGGCGUGACCCGACCUCAAUACCCGGAGAAAGGCCCCCUGAGGGAAAGCGUGGUUACAAAGAGAGAGAGUCUUUUGAUGCUAUGAAUGUGAUGAAGAACUUUGGGCUCUAUGAUUUUGGGAACUACACAGUGAAUUCCCUCCAUCUUUCCCAGAGACAUGGAGCAGGAAAAGAUGGUUACUACGUAUGUGCUGGAUCAGUGUCGUUACCAUGACUACCAGAAACCAUGUGACAUAUUGUUGUGAUCAUUAACUCCAUUUUUGUUAAUAAGAUUUUGUUAAAUAUAUUUCUGCAGGGUUGUUUUCUUUUUCAUAGCUACAAGUAUGUAUACAAUGUAAUUACAUUUAAAGCUGACAUGAAUUCAUAAAUAUGCAUUAUUUCCCUUAUAUCUCCGACUACUGCCAUAUUAGUUGUCGAUUUUUAUUGUUCUGCGAUGAAAAUGAUUUUACGUUGUUACUUUCUUGGAUUUACUAUCAAUUAGCUACUGUGUUGGAUGUAGUGCUGCCGUGGUUUUCAAAAAGAUGCAAACAGUAUGCACUAUGUAUGAACGAUACACAUGUUCGAUGUGCAUGUGAAGUAAGGCAGCACCUUCUUUUUUAAAAGAAUAAAUAUAUUUUGUAUUUU